UCUUAUGGAUGAGGGAAAAAAGUGGUUUCUUCAAGUGGAAACUACUCCUGGUAAAUAUGCUGUGGA
rnacentral:pre_miRNA from 3 species